UACGGAGGGUGCAAGCGUUAUCCGGAUUUAUUGGGUUUAAAGGGAGCGUAGGCGGGUUUGUAAGUCAGUGGUGAAAGCCCGUAGCUCAACUACGGAACUGCCAUUGAUACUGCAGACCUAGAGUACACUUGAAGUGGGCGGAAUGUGUCAUGUAGCGGUGAAAUGCUUAGAUAUGUGGAGGAACACCGAUGGCGAAGGCAGCCCCCUGGGUCAAGACUGACGCUCAUGCACGAAAGCGUGGGGAGCAAACAGG
rnacentral:rRNA from 1 species